UUCACUUAUUCACUCAUUCAUUUCACUCACUGGCUUCUCCGCUCGCUAUGUUCACACCCCUACUCAGCGCUCACCAGUCUCGCCCAUUCACAACCCGGCCGGGUAUGACACUCCUCACUCAGACAAAUUGUGAAAAAUGAAAAGCCGAGUGGACGGAGAGCUGUCAAGCCCAGAAUUAACUAAUCCGUUUUUUUCUUUCUCUCUUUGCAGUUGCAGUUGACCAUGACACCGUGGGACGACCUCGCGUCUGACUGAGGAGACGCAGCCUCAGAUCAUAAGGUACGUCUGCCUUCUGGGAAAUUUCGUGUCAGCGAGCCUCUCCCGCCCGCUCGCUUGUCCGCCAUUCUACGACUAUUCUUAUUUCCGCCAUUCUUACUUAUGUGAGUGAGUUGCCUGUUCGUGACAGACGCUUCCAUAAUUUGUUCCGAGGUUCCCCAUUUGCCUCAUGGACACACGCACGCACGCACGCACGCACGCCGGUAAGUUACGGCAGCGCCACUCUCGCUUCCCUCGCCGAUUGUAAACGACGGGAUGUCAAGAUGAUGGAAGUGGGAAUUGGAAGAAGGGAAUGUUUGGAAUGGGAAAGAUAAAGGGGAUA